UUCUUUCGGCCGCCUCUUUCCUCCUGUUUCUUUCUUUCGGCAAGGGCGGCUUCUUCCGAUUCUUCGCUGCUAGCGGCUGCAGUGCCGGCAGCUGCUGCCCUUGUUCCCGGCCGUCUCGGUUUGUGACUUUGCCGCUGCAACUCUUCCCCCGAUUUGCCAGUGCGUUCUGCAGGUUCGUUCCCCCUUUUACCUAUCGGUCUAGAUGCUGGUUUGCAGGCGCUGCUUCGGUGCGCUGCCGUGCCGCUGCAGUUCGUUCGCGCCGUGCAGGCGUGCAUCUGUUGCCUCUUCUUCGGUUUGUCCUGCUGUUGUUGAUGUGGAUGAUGGUUUGUGGUUCUUAUGCAUGUUCCACUGCAUCGGUUGUUGCUCGUAGUUGUUUUCUUAGUUUUUUCCUUGCUAAUUAGUCUUUCUGGUACCGCGAGUUCUGUCGGUAGGCUCUUCAUUGACUGGCCCAUUUGGGGCGGCUCAUGGGUUGCUGGCGUGAGCUCUACGAGGAUUAUGAAGGAACCCAAACUUCAUCAUGGUAGGGAAUCCACUUAUCUGUGGAGCAGCUGCGGAACAGGAUUGUUAUGGAACUUUACCAAUGCCAAUGUCACACGGCCUGAAUAACACACAAGGUAUGCCCAGUUAGUCAUGUUCACUGAUGAUUAGCAGUGGGUACAUUGUGUACGUCACCCAUUAAUCUGAUCUAAUUGAAUGGGAAGUUAUAUUGGUGGUCAAUUAGAAGUGAUUUUUAAUUGAAGUGUACUGAUCUGUGAUAGUAAUGGUUGCAAAAGAUACACUAAUGCCAGGAAAAUCUAAGAGUCACGAAGCUCCAAUUGCAUUUCGUUGCACGACUGGCUGCAUCGACAUCCUUCUCUUGUUUCGGGGUUGCUAUUCCGGACUUCUGAUGGAGGCACAUAAAAGAUCAACAUAUUCUUUUUGAUGUUGAUGGCAGUGUGAAAGUAGGCGGCUAUGUGAACUCCUUGGAUGUGAUCCAGGCAGCGAUAAAAGAUCAAGAGUCUAUUGCAAAUCACAGCUCAAGGUCAGGGUCGUGCUGCGGUAGGUUGAUAUCCAAAACUUGUCAUCUGCGUUUUUUCAGGGCUGUUCCCAAACCUAUCCAUGGAGGAGGCUGUGGAUGUAUUCUGAUUGAGCAUGCUGGGCUUAGUUGCUUACAAUUACAAGGCAGGGUGAUUGACUUGAACUAUUUGGAUUUGUGAGGGUACAUCUGGGAUGGUGUUAGUUCGUUGAUGGCAUCAAAGGAAGAUGUGUGUACUGCUUUU